AUUGAACGCUGGCGGCAUGCUUUACACAUGCAAGUCGAACGGUAACAGGCCGCAAGGUGCUGACGAGUGGCGAACGGGUGAGUAAUGCAUCGGAACGUGCCCAGUCGUGGGGGAUAACUACUCGAAAGAGUAGCUAAUACCGCAUACGAUCUAUGGAUGAAAGCGGGGGACCGCAAGGCCUCGCGCGAUUGGAGCGGCCGAUGUCAGAUUAGGUAGUUGGUGGGGUAAAGGCUCACCAAGCCAACGAUCUGUAGCUGGUCUGAGAGGACGACCAGCCACACUGGGACUGAGACACGGCCCAGACUCCUACGGGAGGCAGCAGUGGGGAAUUUUGGACAAUGGGCGCAAGCCUGAUCCAGCAAUGCCGCGUGCAGGAAGAAGGCCUUCGGAUUGUAAACUGCUUUUGUACGGAACGAAACGGCUCUGGUUAAUACCCGGGGCUAAUGACGGUACCGUAAGAAUAAGCACCGGCUAACUACGUG
rnacentral:rRNA from 1 species